rnacentral:rRNA from 1 species
ACGAACGCUGGCGGCAUGCCUAACACAUGCAAGUCGAACGAAGCCUUCGGGCUUAGUGGCGCACGGGUGCGUAACGCGUGGGAAUCUGCCCUUGGGUUCGGAAUAACAGUUAGAAAUGACUGCUAAUACCGGAUGAUGUCUUCGGACCAAAGAUUUAUCGCCCAGGGAUGAGCCCGCGUAAGAUUAGCUAGUUGGUGGGGUAAUGGCCUACCAAGGCGACGAUCUUUAGCUGGUCUGAGAGGAUGAUCAGCCACACUGGGACUGAGACACGGCCCAGACUCCUACGGGAGGCAGCAGUGGGGAAUAUUGGACAAUGGGCGAAAGCCUGAUCCAGCAAUGCCGCGUGAGUGAUGAAGGCCUUAGGGUUGUAAAGCUCUUUUACCCGGGAUGAUAAUGACAGUACCGGGAGAAUAAGCUCCGGCUAACUCCGU